rnacentral:rRNA from 1 species
CAGUCGCCACGGUAACACGUAGGGUGCGAGCGUUAAUCGGAAUUACUGGGCGUAAAGCGUGCGCAGGCGGUCAUGCAAGACAGAUGUGAAAUCCCCGGGCUUAACCUGGGAACUGCAUUUGUGACUGCAUGGCUAGAGUGCGGCAGAGGGAGAUGGAAUUCCGCGUGUAGCAGUGAAAUGCGUAGAUAUGCGGAGGAACACCGAUGGCGAAGGCAAUCCCCUGGGCCUGCACUGACGCUCAUGCACGAAAGCGUGGGGAGCAUACAGGAUUAGAUACCCAGUAGUCCCUGUCUCUUAUACA